AAAUUUUAUUCAAUUCUUUAACAAGGGAGAUGAAUUAUUUCCAUACAGCUUUAUACCACUGCCUUGAAGGAAAGAGAAUCUUCUAAAACCACAGGAUGGAGUUCUUCUUUACUGUCUUGACAGAAAGCUGAGGUGAAAACAUGAAACGUAUAGAGUUUGUCAAACAGGAGUUCACUGCUUGGAAAAGGAGGCACAAAAAAAAACCCCAUGGGAAUUGGUCAAGUAUACGCACCAACAAGAGGAAGUAUCCCAAUAUUCAAUCAAAAUGUGAAUGCCCCUAAAUUUCCCCCUCCUCCUUAAGAAAUGAACAUUGCACCCACUUGUCUGAAAUACAGUAUUUUCUGCAUGUGGUUGUAAGAGGCAGCUGCACUUGAAGAUCCCUCUGUCAACAGUUUAGGACCAAAAAGUUAAUUUUAGAGGUGUGUCACCUGGUUCUACCCAGCACACUGCAGAUAACAAAAAGUUCAGGAAACAUGUUUUGCUGAACAGGUUUGUGGUUGUAAAAACAUGACACUUUUUCAGGAGGGCUAUGCCUUUUGGUGAGAUGCUGGUUGGCAUCAGCUGAGGGAAGUGACUGGUGUUGACACAAACGGGGUCAGGCAUCAAUGUCUGCAGCUUCCCUGUCACAGGAAAUGGAGGACAAGACCUGUGCAACACCAAAGCAGCCCGUGGUUGGUGCAAGCACUGGAGAAGAAUGGCAGCUGGGUGAAGACAGAGGACAAUGGACUUAUUUUGACUUAAACUUUCAGAAGAGAAUUAACGAUAGGUGAAUGCAUAACUCUGAAGGUCUUUGCACAAAUUUUUGAGCAUGCUGCUUCUCCAACAGAGCUCAGAGCCAGGACUGAGCAACACUUUCCUGCAAUUGCAGCUCCCAUUGCCAGCACAAACUAAUGACACAAAUUGUGGAGUCUGGUGACCAGUAGAUACAUGCAGUGAAUACAGUACUGCAGCUAAACAUGUCAAGCCUCUUAAAAGCUUAACGGUGACACAAAUGACCAAAACAAACAUUUAUUAAGGCCACUUAAAAAUUAAUGAGUUACAUCCUUACUCUCUUCUGGUUGGUGGAGUAGUAACACAAGAACCUAAUAAAUGAACCAGAAAACAACAACAAAAAACUCCCACUAGACCAAGACUUCCAAAGCAGAAAACUGACAAGAACCAUACAGACAUCUCACAUGACUGACUUCAAUCCUUUGAAAGUCCAUUUAUUCCUUUUUC
rnacentral:lncRNA from 1 species